rnacentral:misc_RNA from 1 species
AGAAUAUAGGAUCUUUGUGCAUUGGGGACCAAUCAAGAUGGCCAAGGAGGACUUCCUGCUUGUACUUGUCAAAUGAACUCAGCUUUUUGAUGUUUUCCUUCAAUCCUUGUUCUAGUUGAUUCAGAGCGUCCAAAAGAUCCUCAUCACUCCAAGCCUGUGCUUUCAAACUCUGAACAAUUUGCAGCACUCCCAGGUCAACCAUAUGAGCACUAAAUGUUCCUUUGGAAAGCAAAUUCCGAAGAGUCAAGAUGACAACCCGUACAACCUUCUCUUUUGUUGAACCUUUAACAACUUCUAUCAAUCGAGUGAGGGCCCUUGAAGUAGCUAAAUACUCUAUUGCAGGUUCAUAGUAUGACAAAAGCCACACACAAAGGCAUGUCUCAUAGAGAGGCUGGAUAGACUGCUGGGUCGAUGCUGGUGAAAUUAAAGGUACAAGCAACUUCACUCCAUCAGCUCGAACAAAUGAAGAUCGAACAACUGGCUCUUUCAACAGAGUUGAUAGGCAGUUGAUUGUGCUAGCAAUGCUGCGUGUAGGAUGAGUAGGCUUUCUCAGCUGUGCACAAAGCCACUCCACCACGCCUGCCAGAACAUCGUCAAUGGUAGUGAUUUUCUUCUUUGAACUUGAGGCAUCUCCAUUGGCAUCAGCACCAUUCUGAACUUUUGACCUAGCACUCACUGUCAAAGACAGAAUCUUACAGCUCUUCUCUUGUAUGAACCAAUUACCUUUCCACAGCAAUCUGAGGAAAGGUUCAUAGGUAUCUUCGUCUGCAAGACUCUUGUCAUGGAAUAGUCUUGCUCUUUUUGGGUUUGCUGUAAGCAUUUCAUCAAUCAAAGCCAAAACAUAUUCCACGGUUUCUUCCUUGAAGAUGUCACGUAAAAUGGUAACAAAGACGCGGACAUAACCUGGACCAUCAUCAUCCAGCAACUGGGCUUUGUAACUUUCUGCCUUCUUGUCAUAGCGCCUCAACAGCUGCAAACCAGUUCCAGUGAUCAGCUUUGUAGUCAUGUAUGUCUCCCAUGGGAUAUCCCUCCUCAAAACCUCCUCCGUAGUAAGCUCCACGCUCUCCGUUGUCAUUGUGAUUAUGCCCUUCAAAUCCAAAAUUUGUUUUCUUCUUAUCAAAUAGCCAGAAUAUGGAUCGUUCUUCCUCUAUCCGUAUCACGUGGAAGUAACCAAAUGUGAUUAGAACCCAAAAACUAAUCUUCCAGUAUAUGAGGGUGCACGUAGGCUACAAAUCUUGGGGUGGGGUGGGG